UACAGAGGUCUCGAGCGUUGUUCGGAUUCAUUGGGCGUAAAGGGUGCGUAGGCGGCGCGGUAAGUCGGGUGUGAAAUCCUGGAGCUUAACUCCGAAACUGCAUUCGAUACUGCCGUGCUUGAGGACUGGAGAGGAGACUGGAAUUUACGGUGUAGCGGUGAAAUGCGUAGAUAUCGUAAGGAAGACCAGUGGCGAAGGCGGGUCUCUGGACAGUUCCUGACGCUGAGGCACGAAGGCCAGGGGAGCAAACGGG
rnacentral:rRNA from 1 species